rnacentral:rRNA from 1 species
AUGGGUCGUGAGUGGGAACUUAGUUUCCGUCUGGGUAGGCGUCCUUGGAUUGUUGUUGCAUAUUCAGCUCCUGUUGCAGCUGCUACUCUUGUUUUCUUGAUUUACCCUAUUGGUCAAGGAAGCUUUUCUGAUGGUAUGCCUUUAGGAAUCUCUGGUACUUUCAACUAUAUGAUUGUAUUCCAGGCAGAGCACAACAUCCUUAUGCAUCCAUUCCACAUGUUAGGUGUAGCUGGUGUUUUCGGCGGUUCCCUAUUCGGUGCUAUGCAUGGUUCCUUGUUAACCUCUAGUUUGAUCAGGGAAACUACUGAAAAUGAAUCUGCUAAUGAGGGUUACAAAUUUGGUCAAGAGGAAGAAACUUAUAAUAUUGUGGUUGCUCAUGGUUAUUUUGGCCGAUUAAUCUUCCAAUAUGCUAGUUUCAACAACUCUUGUUCUUUACACUUCUUCUUGGCUGCUUGGCCUAUAGUAGGAAUCUGGUUCACUACUUUAGGUAUUAGUACUAUGGCUUUCAACCUAAAUGGUUUCAAUUUCAACCAAUCUGUAGUUGAUAGUCAAGGUCGCGUUAUUAACACUUGGGCUGAUAUCAUCAACCGUGCUAACCUUGGUAUGGAAGUAAUGCACGAACGUAAUGCUCACAACUUCCCUCUAGACUUAGCUGUUGUUGAAGUUCCAUCAAUUAAUGGAUAA